rnacentral:rRNA from 1 species
GAUGAACGCUGGCGGCGUGCCUAAUACAUGCGAGUCGAGCGAACGGACGAGAAGCUUGCUUCUCUGAUGUUAGCGGCGGACGGGUGAGUAACACGUGGAUAACCUACCUAUAAGACUGGGAUAACUUCGGAAAACCGGAGCUAAUACCGGAUGAUAUUUUGAACCGCAUGGUUCAAAAGUGAAAGACGGUCUUGGUGUCACUUAUAGCUGGAUCCGCGCUGCAUUAGCUAGUUGGUAAGGUAACGGCUUACCAAGGCAACGAUGCAUAGCCGACCUGAGAGGGUGAUCGGCCACACUGGAACUGAGACACGGUCCAGACUCCUACGGGAGGCAGCAGUAGGGAAUCUUCCGCAAUGGGCGAAAGCCUGACGGAGCAACGCCGCGUGAGUGAUGAAGGUCUUCGGAUCGUAAAACUCUGUUAUUAGGGAAGAACAUAUGUGGAAGUAACUGUGCACAUCUUGACGGUACCUAAUCAGAAAGCCACGGCUAACUACGUG